UACGUAGGGUGCGAGCGUUAAUCGGAAUUACUGGGCGUAAAGCGUGCGCAGGCGGUCUGUUAAGACCGAUGUGAAAUCCCCGGGCUUAACCUGGGUACUGCAUUGGUGACUGGCAGGCUUUGAGUGUGGCAGAGGGAGGUAGAAUUCCACGUGUAGCAGUGAAAUGCGUAGAUAUGCGGAGGAACACCGAUGGCGAAGGCAAUCCCCUGGGCCUGCACUGACGCUCAUGCACGAAAGCGUGGGGAGCAAACAGG
rnacentral:rRNA from 1 species